UGGGGAAUUUUACGCAAUGGGGGAAACCCUGACGUAGCGACACCGCGUGAGCGAAGAAGCCCUUUGGGGUGUAAAGCUCUGUCGGCUGGAACGAAAAAAAUGACGGUACCAGCAAAGGAAGCAUCGGCUAACUACGUGCCAGCAGCCGCGGUAAGACGUAGGAUGCGAGCGUUGUCCGGAUUCAUUGGGCGUAAAGAGUUCGUAGGCGGUUUGUUAAGUCUGAUGUUAAAUAUUGGGGCCUAACCUCGAG
rnacentral:rRNA from 1 species